rnacentral:sRNA from 1 species
AAAAAGCAAGAGGAAGAACAACAACAACAAGGAUCUUCUACUCUAAUCAACCUCAAAUCCAACAAC